CUCGGGCUCGGAGGCGGCGCGUCACUGCUGGGGUGGGAGAGGCCGGCGGGUCAGGGCGGGAGCGGCCGGGCCAAGAGCCCGCCUCGACCCACGGCAGCCGGGGGCGGCCCCGCCUCCCCGGGGCGCUUCCACCUGCGGGUCCGUCCCUGCCCGAGGGCGCCGCGACGACGGCUACAGGUCCCCGCCCCGGCCGCAGCCCGCAGCCAGUCCCGGGCGAAGGGGCGGCGCGCGGCGGCCCGGGCUGUGAAGGAGGAGGAGGAGCGGACCCGGCGCGGGACGGUCGCCACGCCCGCAGUGCUUGGGCUCCAGCGGCCCGCUGCGCACCAACUGAAUCCUGUGCAAACUUUUCCGGAGGAGCUGCGAACCACAACGCCCCUGCCUUCCUAAGCCACUGCCCGCUUUAGGGGACCCGGCCCGUCCAGGCUCCGCUCCUCCCCCGCACGGCUAGCUCGGACGCCCGGAGCGAGCGCGCGGCGGAAAGCGGACGACCCCGGCCCCGGGCCUCCGCUCCCGCGCCCCAACUCACCCUGCCCCAUGGCCCUGCCGGGAGCCCCGAGCUCGCAGCCGCCUCGGCCACCUCGCCCUGCAGAAGUGAGGGUGACGAGGUCAGCAUCGGAGCGAGCAGAGCAGCCAGCCGGAGAGGGGACGGGUAGGGCGAGCGGGCGGGGACGUGGAGCGAGGAGGAAUUUCCUACCCCACCCCGCACCCCUCCGCGGGGCACGCGGCUUUAGGGUACCGCGGGGGAGGCCGGUGGAGAGGAAGUGUCUAGGCUGCUCUUUUUAGUCCCCACUGCCACUGAGUAGCUUUGGGAAGCCCCGCGAACCCAAGAGGAAGAGUGGGCGGACACGGAGGCUACCUGGCCAGCAAAACCCCAGGGAGGACCCAAGCUGUAGCGGAAGUGAGGAGAGCUCAUGGACCGAGUCCGGCUGAUUGACCACCUGCAGUCUGACCUUCGAAGUGCAGGAUUUUCUUUUUAACCUUACUGACCCCUACGGUUGCUAGCCUUUUAAAGGCACAUCUGACAUUGUGAUCUUUUUAAUCCCUGGCAGGUUUAAGCCCGUCCAGUCUUCCCAGGCAUGCCUCUCUUGAUGUAAACAGCCAACAGCUGGGAUUUGAGGACUGGACGUUCUCAUGAUGACAGUCUAUAAGCUAAAAAAGAACAGCAGAGAUUUAGUGGCCUCCUGGAAGUUUCACAGGAAAAAAGGAAUCUCAGACAGUGCUUGCUUAUUUGUAGUUUCAGUUCCUGCAAGAGUUUUUCUCAGAGGAGGCGUGCCACCUGACAACCAGAAUAUGGUCUCAGUACAUCUUUGAAUAUGAAAUGGAGGCGGAGAUCGUGGUGACUUCUGCGAUGACUGUAUUAGAACUCUAUCAUUAAAAGUUGCUUUUAAAUAAUUUGACUAA